CUUGGAAGCAGCCAUUCAUUUAAAGAGUGCGUAACAGCUCACUAGUCGAGCGGUUCGGCAUGGAUAAUAAUCGGGCAUAAACAUAUUACCGAAGCUAUGGACUUGUAAAAGUGGUAGGGGAGCAUUGUAGUGUCGUCGAAGGUGAAGCGUGAGCUUUGCUGGAGAAGCUACAAAAGAAAAUGUAGGCAUAAGUAACGAUAAUGCGGGCGAGAAACCCGCACACCGAAAGACUAAGGUUUCCUCAGCUAUGCUAAUCAGCUGAGGGUUAGUCGGGACCUAACGCGAACCCGAAAGGGGUAGUGGAUGGACAACAGAUUAAUAUUUCUGUACCUGCUCACAAUAAAAGUGACGGAGGCGUAAAUUUGGUGCGUACUGACGGAAUAGUACGUUGAAGCCAGUGGUAACACGGCGAUAGUACACUGAAACUUCGGUAGAGGUGAUAAUCCAGAAAAGCGACUUCCAAGAAAAACAAGUGAAGCAGCCCGUACCCCAAACCGACACAGGUAGUUGGGAUGAGAAUUCUAAGGUGCUCGAGAGAUUCAUGGUUAAGGAACUAGGCAAAAUCGACCCGUAACUUCGGGAGAAGGGUCGCCCAUCUUCGGAUGGGCCGCAGUGAAGAGGUCCAGGCGACUGUUUAUCAAAAACACAGGGCUCUGCUAAAUCGAAAGAUGAUGUAUAGGGCCUGACACCUGCCCGGUGCUGGAAGGUUAAGUGGAGGGGUUAGCUUCGGCGAAGCUCUGAAAUGAAGCCCCAGUAAACGGCGGCCGUAACUAUAACGGUCCUAAGGUAGCGAAAUUCCUUGUCGGGUAAGUUCCGACCUGCACGAAUGGUGCAACGAUCUGGACACUGUCUCAGCCAUGAGCUCGGUGAAAUUGUAGUAUCGGUGAAGAUGCCGAUUACCCGCUACGGGACGAAAAGACCCCGUGCACCUUUACUAUAGCUUCGUAUUGACCUUGGAUAAGUAAUGUGUAGGAUAGGUGGGAGACAUUGAAGCGGCGUCGCCAGGCGUUGUGGAGUCAUUGUUGAAAUACCACCCUUUGCUUAUCUAGGGCCUAAUCCCCAACGGGAAACAGUGCGUGGUGGGUAGUUUGACUGGGGUGGUCGCCUCCAAAAGAGUAACGGAGGCUUCUAA
rnacentral:rRNA from 1 species